UUUUUUUUCUUCUUUCCAUUUAUCGGUUCUUUUAGCAAUAUAUCUGCUAAUGGUGAUUUUAUGACCCACAUAACUCAUGUGAUAAUGUCGUGUAUUGAUAAUCCACAGAAUGCAUGCGAUGAUGCGUGUACUGAUAAGUUUAUGAUCAACAGCUGCGAUAGUCGGAUUUCACGGAUAUUGGUAUUCGUUGUUUUGAAGAUUUGUGGCCAUUUUAAUAAUCACAUGCAAGUUGCUGCCUUCGUGGUGACAGGAGCGCAAUACUAAUCAUUUGGUGAUGGUUUGUUUCUGCGUGGAGCAUUUGGUUCUCCACUGCCAGAUCAAUGCAAAUGGCAUGACCUACAAGCAAAUGACUUUAU